UGCUUUGAAUCUUUGAAACUAUUAGCAAAAUGGAUCAACAAAUUCUUCUCUUUUUUUGGCCUGAUUUUCAUUUUCCAUAGUUUUUGAUUUUUCACAAUAUUUUGCAAAAAUGGGAUCUUCUGAAGGUGUAAGAGGUACACUGAUAGUAUAUAGAAAUCUACUUAAUGCAGUGAAAAAACAUAUAGGGAAUAAGGAAGAUCACAAGAUUUAUUUCACUGAUUUCAUCAGGGAAGAAUUCAAGAAGAAUAUAAAUCUUGAAUACUCAAAAAACUCUUCUUUUAUUCAGCAAAGAAUAAAUCUUGCUCAAAAUUAUACUCAUCUUCUCAACAAUAUUCAUCAUCAUAAGGCCAGCUUGCACGCAUCUUGACUAAUUCCAUGGAAAACCUGCUACCUUCCACCAGCAACAGGUAUCAGGCAACUCUGUCCACCUAGGCUAGAACAGAUGGGAAGAAAUCACCUUGUGUUAUUCAUCAAAGCAAGCUGUAAGAUGGUUGUUGACUAAGAUGAAAUGUACAAAGUUAUUUUGACUCUUUAUUAUAGUGUUAGUUAAUGGAAGAAUGUGUGAAAACAAUUGUUAGAAAGCAAUUAAAAGAUUGUUUAAGAGGAUUUUUAGAAGUAUUAGAUAAAUUUGGACAUCAGAAGUAUAUAUAUAUGAAAUUUUUGUUCAGUUUACAAUGUUUUAAUUUACUUAGUUAAGGUGUAUGGCCGAGUGAAAUGUGCGUUUUACAGAAGGUGGCGAGAACACUAAUGUUAUGUGGAAUGAGCGUAAACACUUUAAGGUUCAACACAUCUACAAGAAUAGAGCUCGCGGAAAUGUGGAUGUUGAGAUGUAUAUAUAAUGAACAUUAUCAGACAAUUAGAUUAUAAGUCAUUAUGCGAUUAUUAAUGUUGUAUGUUCGAUAAUAUUACUAAAGAUUUUUUGUCUCUGAUACGCCUAAUGUAUAUACGAUCAAUGUGGAAGUCUUCCUUUGUCAACUAUGACAUUUUUUGUGGUACGUGAACUCUCUCCGCGAUCAUGGUUCUUUGACUCUUACGUUCUUGUUUUCUUGAAUUGUGAUAUAAAUUGCAUUUCACAAAUGUGGCGUUUCUACAUUUUUCCAGGACUUGUUAUUUUCUUACAACAUUGCAGUGAAUAGAUCAAACGAGAUGACAAAAGUGCUGAAAAGAUCUGCUGCAAGUGUAGGUCUACGCCUUCCUGAUGCUUAUCGGCCUUAAAAGCUGUACUGGUAUCUCGUCGAAGAUGAUUUGUCCCUUGUUUUUCGUUCGAUGAACACCAAACCAGGAGAGACGAUCAGAAUAAUGAAGAAGUCGCCGCUUUUGUCAAGACUGUCAAUACUGUAUGCUUUCAAAGUAAACAUCAAAAAUUGCCAAGCAAGAGAUGGCUAUUGAUCUUGUAAGGACAAUU